rnacentral:rRNA from 1 species
GAUGAACGCUAGCGGUAGGCUUAACACAUGCAAGUCGAGGGGUAACAGGGUAGCAAUACUGCUGACGACCGGCGCACGGGUGAGUAACGCGUAUGCAAUCUGCCUUUAACUGGAGAACAGCUUCGAGAAAUCGGAAUUAAUACUCCAUAAUAUUAACGAAUCGCAUGGUUUGUUAAUUAAAGCUCCGGCGGUUAAAGAUGAGCAUGCGUGACAUUAGUUUGUUGGUGAGGUAACGGCUCACCAAGACUACGAUGUCUAGGGGGUCUGAGAGGAUGGUCCCCCACACUGGUACUGAGACACGGACCAGACUCCUACGGGAGGCAGCAGUGAGGAAUAUUGGUCAAUGGGCGCAAGCCUGAACCAGCCAUACCGCGUGAAGGAUGAAGGCUCUAGUAGUUGUAAACUUCUUUUAUAUGGGAAGAAACCUACUCUCGUGAGAGUAGUUGACGGUACCAUAAGAAUAAGCACCGGCUAACUCCGUGCCAGCAGCCGCGGU